UGGGGAAUCUUGCCCAAUGGGCGAAAGCCUGAGGCAGCGACGCCGCGUGAGGGAAGAAGGCCUUCGGGUUGUAAACCUCUUUCAGGAGGGACGAAGCUACUCGGGUGAAUAGCCCAGAGGGUGACGGUACCUCCAGAAGAAGCCCCGGCUAACUACGUGCCAGCAGCCGCGGUAAUACGUAGGGGGCAAGCGUUGUCCGGAUUUACUGGGCGUAAAGAGCGUGUAGGCGGCCAGACAGGUCUGUUGUGAAAACUGGAGGCUCAACCUCCAGACGUCGACAGAAACCGUCUGGCUAGAGUCCGGAAGAGGAGAGUGGAAUUCCUGGUGUAGCGGUGAAAUGCGCAGAUAUCAGGAAGAACACCGAUGGCGAAGGCAGCUCUCUGGGACGGUACUGACGCUGAGACGCGAAAGCGUGGGGAGCGAACAGGAUUAGAUACCCUGGUAGUCCACGCCGUAAACGAUGGGUGCUAGGUGUGGGAGGUGUCGACUCCUUCCGUGCCGCAG
rnacentral:rRNA from 1 species